rfam:Bombyx mori DNA, contig: Bm_scaf12_contig9544, strain: p50T/Dazao, build 2, whole genome shotgun sequence.
UUAGCUCAUAUUUGUAUGGAAUAGGAUCGUUUGCCUACGUUCGCCGCUAGGGGCGCUGUUCCAACUGCAUACAAAAUUGGGUUA